rnacentral:rRNA from 1 species
GACGAACGCUGGCGGCGUGCCUAAUACAUGCAAGUCGAACGCAGUGGGGACGGGUGAGUAACACGUGGGUAACCUCCCAUCAGAGGGGAUAACACUUGGAAACAGGUGCUAAACCGAUACUGAUGGAUGGACCCGCGGUGCAUUAGCUAGUUGGUGAGGUAACGGCUCACCAAGGCCACGAUGCAUAGCCGACCUGAGAGGGGGAUCGGCCCCACUUGGGCUGAGACACCGGCCAGGCUCCUACGGGAGGCAGUAGUUGUGAAUCUUCGGCCAUGGACGAAAGUCUUACCGAGGCACGGCGCGUGAGGGAAGAAGGUUUUCGGAUCGGAAAACCUCGUUGUUAGAGAAGCGGUAUCUAACCAGAAAGCCACGGCUAACUACGUGCCAGCCGCCGCGGUAAUUC